GUCAACUUGUCUAGACUACAGUCCCCAGUUAUUCAAUAUAACUGUGAAGAUGAAUGUCCUAACCUUUUCUUGAUUAACUUGAAGAAGUAUUUGUCCUCGGAGACCUUGAGCAGCUCCAUGGCACACAUACCACUUAUAUGAGGCAAAGCCGUACAUUUUUUGGAUCAUGUCCUGCGAGAACUUGAUAUGUUUGAUACCUACAAUCAGUUCUGCAGGACCAUCUGUGCCAGACUUGCUGCAAAGCCCUUUCCUGCUUUGGGCCUGAAUAAAUGCAAGUAGUC